CUAUUGCCCAUUAGAUCUGAAAAUAAAUUAAUAAUCGUCAGUCCAAUUGGAGCAGGUAAAUGCCCUGUACGCGGGUUGCGAAGAACAACCAACUUCAACGAUAAUUAAAGAAACAAUUAUGGCGGACAUCGGAGUGAUAAUGUUCAUAGCAACAGCGAUGUACGGAGUUGUAUUAUACAUGUGCGGUAUGCCACGUUCAAAUGAAGUGACGAGUCUUUCAGGCGACCUAACAAUACCCGACCCAGUUCCAUUUUCAGAAUUAUUGGGUAAAUAUGAGAAAGAAAAUUAUACAGUGGACGAUCUGGAGAGGAAACUUGUCAAUCUGAGUUUAAAAUCUACGGAUGAUGAAAUAAUGUCCCUGACAAGCAAAGGUAUAAAUAAAUCCAUUUCCAUAGUUUACGAGGUUAUCAUCUCAUUUUCCAUAAUAAUUUUAGGAUAAAAUAUAAAAU